GUACGGAAGGCAGCAGUGAGGAAUUUUGGACAAUGGGCGCAAGCCUGAUCCAGCCAUGCCGCGUGUGGGAAGAAGGCCUUCGGGUUGUAAACCACUUUUGUCAGGGAAGAAACGGUCUAAUCUAAUAAAUUGGACUAAUGACGGUACCUGAAGAAUAAGCACCGGCUAACUACGUGCCAGCAGCCGCGGUAAUACGUAGGGUGCAAGCGUUAAUCGGAAUUACUGGGCGUAAAGCGUGCGCAGGCGGCUAUGCAAGACAGAUGUGAAAUCCCCGGGCUCAACCUGGGAACUGCAUUUGUGACUGCAUGGCUAGAGUACGGCAGAGGGGGAUGGAAUUCCGCGUGUAGCAGUGAAAUGCGUAGAUAUGCGGAGGAACACCGAUGGCGAAGGCAAUCCCCUGGGCCUGUACUGACGCCCAUGCACGAAAGCGUGGGGAGCAAACAGGAUUAGAUACCCGGGUAU
rnacentral:rRNA from 1 species